rnacentral:rRNA from 1 species
UACGUAGGGGGCAAGCGUUGUCCGGAUUUAUUGGGCGUAAAGAGCGUGUAGGCGGCCAUACAGGUCCGUUGUGAAAACUCGAGGCUCAACCUCGAGACGCCGAUGGAAACCCUCCAGCUAGAGUCCGGAAGAGGAGAGUGGAAUUCCUGGUGUAGCGGUGAAAUGCGCAGAUAUCAGGAAGAACACCCGUGGCUAAGGCGGCUCUCUAGUACGGUACUGACGCUGAGACGCGAAAGCGUGGGGAGCGAACAGG